AGCCUGCAGGAGCUGGGACGAGGGAGCAGGCAGCCGGUUCCAACAGCAGGUGUCAGCCUCAGCCCAUGGCAGCAGACAGGAGCGAAGGACAGAGGAGAUGACGGAUUAUCCUCUGUCUCUUGCCUCUCCUCUGCAUGUUGGAAACACUCGAUCUCUGCAAACACCUCAGCAAUCUCUUCCUUCAGCCUCUGCAAAAGAAAUAUCAGGAAGAUGAAGGCAGUGGAGGGAAAAACAGCAGACACACAGAGCAUGUCUUACUCAUGUCUAUUGUCACUCAAGACUGGAAAAAUCAACCUUAAUCAGUGUGACAUUUUAGGAGGCACUGGAGAAAUGGUUGGGUCUGCUAAAAGAAAAGAAGAAAAGCAAGUUCAGCCACAGAAACUUGUGUGGAAGGUCCUGCCAUGAGAUGUCUUCGAAGAGACAGGAUCCUUCAUGGAGGACUUGUUAGAGGUCCCCAAAGCAAACAAAAGUUUGAUAAACACAGGGGGAUGCUGCAGGUAACCAGGACUGAUAUGUCAUUAGCAGGUAACCAGUAAUUAAAAAGAAUCAUAAAUGCUGAGCCUGAUGCCUGCCAGUAUGACUUACUGAAGACAUUUCUUUAAUCCCAAGUAUGCAAUCCCAGCUCAUCCCUGCUCAUAAUCUGAUCAGCCUUUCUCAAGUAUCCCAUUAGGGCAGCUGAUGAUUCCUGCAGCAGAGAGCACCACAGGCUGGAUGCACCCUGGUGGCAAAUAGGCCAGGGCAGCCUGAAGUUUAAAACUGAGGUUGGAUCAUGACAGAGAAAAUGUCUCCUGUGCAAGAGCGCUUCUGCAUGGCCUGGACUGUUGUUAUGUGAGGAUGCUCCUUGGUGAAGACAGAUUUGGGAAGGCUAGGCAGGCACGAGGGACCAGAUGGUCCUUACCUUAAUA